CACUUUGACCAGGCUCCGCCCCUCCGCCCCUCCGCCCCUCCGCCCCUCCGCCCACUGCCUGCAGCUGAGUGCUGACCGCGUCUGUGAAGCCAGAGUGUGGCUUCUCCGAUACCGAUACCGGGCUCCUGGCGGAGAGAAGCCCGGGACCCAGGAGUGUGCGGCAACACUGUCCCAGGCGUCCGUCGGUGUCCACGGUUCACUCUCACGCCUCGGCCUCUCGCUAGUGAUCCUGGGCCAGACUCACCCCAGCGCAGGCGCACACGCAGGGUCCCCCGGGGUGCCUGUCGGAAUCUAGGAAGAAGGAGGUGUAGGAGGAGUGAGAAACUGCAGUGCAAACAAAAUAAAAGCUCAGAAGAAAAUGAAGGCGAACUGAAACACUGGUUGCUCAGAGAAGCUGCUCAACUCCUGUAUACAGUGUUUAGUUUUUUGUGAGCACGGACUUUGAAAGAUGCCCUUAGGAAAUGGUUUCUACCAUCAUCUUCAUUGUGCAUUUUGGGAGACUGGGGAGGCCCUGGAAACAAAGGCUUUCUCAGGACACAAAACUGAUGCUGGUGCAAGAGCCGUCAUCAUCAACACCUCCCACCACCUGGCAAGACACACACUCAGAACUCCAGCAAUGACAUCAUUGAGGAGCUGGUCCACGAGAGCCACUAUAAGGUCUACAGGGUCAAGGUACAGGUGUACAAGACUGACACCACCAUCAAGUGAUGGUCUCAGGGUGCAGCUGAGUACAGAUUCAAAUUGAGAGUAGCCUGCAGAAUGCGCACCCUCCUGGGAGGUGCACUGAAGAAGCUGGCAGAGUUCCUGACUCCAGCUGUUCUGGGUGGAAACAUCCCCUGCCUCUCCACCUUCAGGACUAUGCACUCAUCCUUCUCCAGAGACCCAAUGCUCUUGGAUGAUCUGCUAACUCGGUGAGCACAUGGCCCCUCUUCAGCACAGCUGUGAUUCUGCCCACUGCAAGCAGUGUACCACAUAAAUAUCACCCCAUCUCCCUGUGCCUCAGUUAGUUCCUUUGAAAUGUGGGAUCACAGAGGACAAACCUCAUAGUGUUCUCUCAGGGAUUACGGUGGGGACAAUCCAGGCAGGUCUUAGCUGGCACCUGGCCCUACAGACAUGGCUUCUGGAUGUGGUAGUUCAUGGAAAUUUUCAUUUUUUUUUCCACCAUGAAAAAUCUCCUGCCUGACCCAUGAUGGCCUGUGGCAUUUCUAAGCUUGGAAAAGCAAGUGGAAAACAAUCUGUCAAGGUGCUGGGGAAAGCACUUCACUGAUCUUUGCACUUGUCUUUGGCAUUGCCACAUUAGGAAUCUCUGGAUAUAGCAGGGUUCUCCAGGCCCACUCAAAUAUAUGGGAUGGUUCUGGUUGGACUUCCUUUUUUCGACUAGUACCUAGUACACCUAGGUACCUAGUACUGAGCACCUAGUACAAAUAGGCCUCACUAGGCGCACUUAGCAUAACUUAGUGAAUGAAGCAGACACAGUCCUAGGGCCUCGCUUCUACUCAAUGAAUCAGUCACUCACAAUAUAUCUUUUUCACAUCCUGUCCUGUAUCCAUUAGAUCUGAUACAAUCAGGAUCUUUAGGACACCUGAAGGCCUACUGCUAAUAAUAACAAUGGACACUCAUCGAGGGACCAACUAAAAAUGUGGGUGGUGUUUGGGUCCAGAAGGUAGACAUCGUGUGUUGAGAGCAUCCUGGUAGUAACCGGGAGGGUCUGGAACCAAUGAGAUUUUAUAGAUCUGACUCCCAAGGGAGUCCUGAGCUCUGGUGGAUUCUAUGGCAAGAGGACAGAAUUAAGAGAACUAUGGAGGGAGCCCCUGGACUCAAAUAACCAGAAGGAGGCUGGGAUGCAUAUGGCCCUAGGGUUCCAAAACCACCACAAUCCACUCCCACUUAGCCUGACCUUCCCCGAGUCAAGUCUCACCACCAUCCCCAGGCUCCAAACAGCAGAUGUAGUCAGAGCCUGCUCACCAAUCUACCUCAAACUUCAGUCUAGAUGAGCAUGUGCAUGAAGGGUUGGGGUAGGCAGGGUAUCGACCUUGAGAAGAAAUGUCCUUGGAAAGAAAAACUCACAGGCUCUCCAUCCUGACACUGCAGCAUUACCAAGCCUGCUCCUCCUGGGACAGCCGGACAGGGGUUAGGGUUGGCAUUGGGCUCGCUCCUGGUUGACCGUGGGCAUGCUCAGAGACCCUGUCCCAAACAAGUUUGUACUGGGAGGGCAGCAUAGGAGAAUUUCAGACUCUGACUGUGCUGCCCAACUGCCUCUCCCCAGGGCUAUUGCUUCUACAGGGGGAGCCUGGCCAGACCAGGUGCAGGAGUUCGACCAGCCCUUACAUUUGUCCUUGUUCCAUCUGAAGCAGGCCUUGGUGCAAGUCAGCUUCCCUACUUCACAGCAGCUGUGCGAGGUCCAACUUUUUUGGGUCAGUCUGGAAUAUCCAGAGCCCCAGGAUGCAACACCAGAAGGUGAGGGAACUGCAGUCUGGGAAGAUGACCCAGGAAGGGGAAGUUCAUUGGCAGGAGUUCCCUUAAAGGCAGGGGCACCUUUCCUGUCUCUGAAAAAAAAACAAGGAAAAAUAAGGUAUAUGUGUGGGAAUCUUUUUUUUUCUCCUGCUCCUCAAGAUCCUCUUCAAGAAUUUGAGAGCAAUGCACAUCCAUAGGUAGUAGAUGCUCAUUGGCUAGUGCCUGGUUCAGCUAGCUGUCUCACCCAGGCCUGGCCUGGAUUGGCCUGGGCUGAUGCAGUGCUUGGAACCAGGAUGGAGCCUUCUGUUGUGCUUUCUUUUUCUUGCCCUCUUAGGAAUUCUAAGCUAAACCUAAAUGAGAGGAACAUAACCCAACAAUAGAUUUAUAAUAGCAAAAAUGAUAAUUUUCAACA